CUACGGGCGGCUGCAGUAGGGAAUAUUGCACAAUGGACGAAAGUCUGAAGCAGCAACGCCGCGUGUGCGAUGAAGGCCUUCGGGUUGUAAAGCACUUUUCUGAGGGAAGAGGAAGGACGGUACCUCAGGAAUAAGUCUCGGCUAACUACGUGCCAGCAGCCGCGGUAACACGUAGGAGGCAAGCGUUAUCCGGAUUUACUGGGCGUAAAGCGCGUGCAGGCGGUUCGGUAAGUUGGAUGUGAAAGCUCCUGGCUCAACUGGGAGAUGCCGUUCAAUACUGCCGGACUCGAGGACGGUAGAGGGAGGUGGAAUUCCCGGUGUAGUGGUGAAAUGCGUAGAUAUCGGGAGGAACACCAGUGGCGAAAGCGGCCUCCUAGGCCGUUCCUGACGCUAAGACGCGAAAGCAUGGGUAGCGAACGGGAUUAGAUACCCCAGUAGUC
rnacentral:rRNA from 1 species